CAAUCAGAACGCUUUGUACAUCUGAUACAGCCCAUACGAUCUGUGGAGCUAGACACUAUAUAAAUCGACAGGUAGCCUUCAUCGAAGCAUCAGACAGCUUUUAACCGACGGGUUUGAAGGGUUGAUCUGUUCUGUUGUUGACCUUGUGCAGGGCAGUCCAGAGAUUGACUUCGUCUUCCGAUUUCGAAUACUUUUUAUUUAAAAGGCAGAGAGCUUGCUCCUGCG